rnacentral:rRNA from 1 species
UACGUAGGGUGCGAGCGUUAAUCGGAAUUACUGGGCGUAAAGCGUGCGCAGGCGGUUUGUUAAGACAGAUGUGAAAUCCCCGGGCUUAACCUGGGAACUGCAUUUGUGACUGGCAAGCUAGAGUAUGGCAGAGGGGGGUAGAAUUCCACGUGUAGCAGUGAAAUGCGUAGAGAUGUGGAGGAAUACCGAUGGCGAAGGCAGGUCUCUGGGCUGACACUGACGCUCAUGCACGAAAGCGUGGGGAGCAAACAGG